rnacentral:misc_RNA from 1 species
GAAAUGCGAUAAUUAAUGUGAAUUGCAGAAUUCAGUGAAUCAUCGAGUCUUUGAACGCACAUUGCGCCCCCUGGUAUUCCGGGGGGCAUGCCUGUCCGAGCGUCAUUGCUGCCCUCAAGCACGGCUUGUGUGUUGGGCUUCCGUCCCUGGCAACGGGGACGGGCCCAAAAGGCAGUGGCGGCACCAUGUCUGGUCCUCGAGCGUAUGGGGCUUUGUCACCCGCUCCCGUAGGUCCAGCUGGCAGCUAGCCUCGCAACCAAUCUUUUUAACCAGGUUGACAUCGGAACAGGUAGGGAUACCCGCUGAACUUAAGC